ACAUUCCUGCGGGAGGCAGCAGUGAGGAAUAUUGGACAAUGGGUGGAAGCCUGAUCCAGCCAUCCCGCGUGCAGGAAGACGGCCCUAUGGGUUGUAAACUGCUUUUAUCUGGGGAUAAACCUACUUACGUGUAAGUAGCUGAAGGUACCAGAAGAAUAAGCACCGGCUAACUCCGUGCCAGCAGCCGCGGUAAUACGGAGGGUGCAAGCGUUAUCCGGAUUUAUUGGGUUUAAAGGGUCCGUAGGCGGACUGAUAAGUCAGUGGUGAAAUCCGACAGCUUAACUGUCGAACUGCCAUUGAUACUGUUAGUCUUGAGUAAGGUUGAAGUGGCUGGAAUAAGUAGUGUAGCGGUGAAAUGCAUAGAUAUUACUUAGAACACCAAUUGCGAAGGCAGGUCACUAAGUCUUAACUGACGCUGAUGGACGAAAGCGUGGGGAGCGAACAGGAUUAGAAACCCGUGUAGUCCCAUGA
rnacentral:rRNA from 1 species